rnacentral:sRNA from 1 species
AUUAAAUAUAUUAUUAACCCAGUGUAUAACUGCAAUAUCAUGUGGCUGGGAAUUAUCCGACAAGUAGUCAGACAUAAGGAUACUUUUGUAAGGUUGCUUUAAAUGUAUAGUAAUAUAUGCUUAGGAGAUGUAAAAGUCAAUAAUGGGUAAUGUGCAGGAAAUAUCGUUUAAUAAAGCACUAGAGUUGUCGUAGCAAUAAUAGACAGGUACGGUGUACAAAUAAGCCUACAGCCAGCCUGUGACAAGGUAUGGUAAUGCUGAUGGUAGGUAAUGUCAAAACAAUGCUAUUUCUCGUGAAGUUGUUGAAAAACAACUAUAAGACAUAACUAGGUUAGAGUAGCCCAAACGAGAUAAAAAAAGGGAAAAUCAGUGAUACAUGUGAAUAAUUUGGAAGUAUUAAAACAAAUACAAAGCAAUUAUCUGAAUGAUGGGUGAAAUCUACGGAUAACCAAUUCCGUAUAGGUUGAGUUUAUACUCAUAAAAUAAAGGGGUAAGAUGUUAUAAAGUAGCUCUUUAUAACACAGACUUAUCUUCCUAGUGGCUGAAUAAUUAAAAAGAUAUUUUACUGUAAGGCGAAGGUCUAAUAAUAUAUUUGAUA